UGCCAGGGGAAAAGUGGGCUUGGGCUAUGGGCUACACCAUGGCUGCCCUUGGGUUGGGCCGGUUGGGCUGUUGCCUGGGGGCUGAGAGCA
rnacentral:snoRNA from 1 species